rnacentral:rRNA from 1 species
ACGUCGUUGUACAGGUGCUGCAUGGCUGUCGUCAGCUCGUGUCGUGAGAUGUUCGGUUAAGUCCGCUAACGAGCGCAACCCUCGCUGUGUGUUACAAGUGUCACACGGAACUGCCGGUCAUAAACCGGAGGAAGGUGGGGAUGACGUCAAGUCAGCAUGGCCUUUAUAUCCUGGGCUACACACACGCUACAAUGGGAAGGGACAAUAGGUUGCGAAGCCGCGAGGUGGAGCCAAUCCAGCAAAACUUCCCUCAGUUCAGAUUGCAGGCUGCAACUCGCCUGCAUGAAGUUGGAGUUGCUAGUAAACGCAGGUCAGCCAUACUGCGUUGAAUACGUUCCCGGGGCUU